rnacentral:rRNA from 1 species
GAUGAACGCUGGCGGCGUGCCUAAUACAUGCAAGUCGAGCGAACGGACGAGAAGCUUGCUUCUCUGAUGUUAGCGGCGGACGGGUGAGUAACACGUGGAUAACCUACCUAUAAGACUGGGAUAACUUCGGGAAACCGGAGCUAAUACCGGAUGAUAUUUUGAACCGCAUGGUUCAAAAGUGAAAGACGGUCUUGCUGUCACUUAUAGAUGGAUCCGCGCUGCAUUAGCUAGUUGGUAAGGUAACGGCUUACCAAGGCAACGAUGCAUAGCCGACCUGAGAGGGUGAUCGGCCACACUGGAACUGAGACACGGUCCAGACUCCUACGGGAGGCAGCAGUAGGGAAUCUUCCGCAAUGGGCGAAAGCCUGACGGAGCAACGCCGCGUGAGUGAUGAAGGUCUUCGGCUCGUAAAACUCUGUUAUUAGGGAAGAACAUAUGUGUAAGUAACUGUGCACAUCUUGACGGUACCUAAUCAGAAAGCCACGGCUAACUCCGUG